GGAUAUGUGCAUAUAUUUAUACACUUUUUGGGUUUUCACACAACAAGAUUGCAUCUCUACAGUGAAUUUGUUUUCAAUCUUUCAACAACCUCAUCGCUCCUGUGAAUGAAAGCAACAACAUCUUAGUGGAUAUGCUAGAAUGAAUGUUGACUGUAAAGUGUUUACUUCUUACAAUUGGUCAAAUGCAGGCCACAAGUUUCACUUCAAGAAUUUCAGAUUGACACUUGUGGUGUCCGAAUAUUAACUUGAAGUGCAUGUUUGUAAGAUUGAAAAACGUAGAAAAUAUUAUUGGAUAAAAAUAUACCGGUAUUUGAUAUUGUGUAAAUAUAAAUCUGUUCAAAGUAUCCAAUUAUGCUUUGUUUUUGUUUUUUUUUUAUAUAUAUUUAGUACCAGGUAAUGGUGACUCAGAAUAGGCUGCAAAAAUCACUAAAAAAAAACUUAGUUUAAAUGUGUUGUUUUUUUUUCUUUUUAAUUUAGCUUCAAUUUGCUAAAAGGGGUAUUUGAAAAUAAAAAUAAAGCAAAUAUUCCAUCAUCAUCUUUCCAUAGCGUUCCUGGUGGAACAUAGCGCCUCAGUAAAAACAACUCACCACUCUCUCUUGCUAGUUUUUUAAUGGCUUCUCAGCUCUGUCCACUCAGCUUCAUCAAUUAUUUAAUGCUUCACUAAAACAAAAGGUACAUAGUGUUGUGUGUCAGAGUCAUCAGGCAGUGCUCAAAGUAGUAACUUGUAUUGGACUUUUUGUGAGGAAACUUCCUAUGUGAUACAGUAUUGCUAUUAAACUUUCUAUCAGUGUAGUUUGUGUUUUGAACUUUCUUGGAAGUAUGAACUGUUGUUGAACAAUGAGAAGAACUGAACUUUUGUUCUAUGGACUUUUAAUGACUUUUUGUUCCAACAACUUGGAUGGAAGAAGGGAUACAUCACACAACAUAAGAUAUAUGUUUGUAUUGUCUUUCCCUUGGCCAUGUAAAUUGUAUAGACUAAGACAGUAGGAAAGUCUGGACUGAAAAAAAUUGAUUGACAAUUUUUUUUUGAUAAGGGGGGGAGGAAAUAUGUUAUAGACUUUACUGGGAAUUUGACGAGAUUAUAAUUAGACUAUUUUAGACGGACAUAGGAAUUAUGGGAAUUAACUAAAUAAGGAAUUAUGGGAUAGAUUUUAACGGUAGCAGACAUUAGUAGGAUAACAACAACGACUCACUCCUCUUAGUUAAUGGCGAGACCUUCUUUUGUAGUAACUGUCGACAUUUGGAUUGUGCCCCUUUCAUAUUAGAUUAAAGUUGUCUAUUAAGAUUAAUACCGUUUUCUUAAGUAUAUUCUACAUGUUGUUAUAUGUUGUUGGUUGAACGAACUCCAUCUAGACUUAAAUCUACAUCUCAUACAUCUGUAAUCUGUUCUACUAAACAACCCACAACAGUAUAGUUUCUUUUGAGUGAAAUUAAAAAAAAAAAGAACUGAUUCUGGGGCAUGGUCCACCAGUCAGCUUCCUUCAGGCAUCUCAGUUUUGGGCGAGUCUCUCCAACUGUCCCUACAUCUUGCACUUCUGCUUGGUAUCUGCCUCCAAAUUGCUGCACCAUGAGACUUAUACCAGUAAGGAAAAUAACUUGUGGAUAUUGUUAUUAUCAAUUUUAACUUUUUUAUUACAAAAAAUUUAAACACCAAUUCAUCAUUGAGAUUUUUGGAUUUCAGUUAGGUUUCAUUUAUUUUUGUGUACAUUACAUACUGGUACACAAAUACAAUUUGCAUAAAGCUCAAGCAAGUCAGUUUCAAUAUAAUCUGGGAAAUGUCAAUGUGAGCAAGUUUUUACUGAUCUAGUUUACUUUAAUGCUCAGGUGUAGGAAGUUAUUUGUAUUGCAAGCAGAUUUGAAAAAUGAAAAAAAAAAACAUUUAUGGGGGGGGGGGGAAUAUACAUACUAUAUUUAGAGUCAUUAAACCAAACCCUAAAAGUAUGACAAAUCAUUAUGACUCAAAUGAACCUUAAAAAAAAAAAAAACUAGUAAGAAUAUAUAAUGAAUGAAUCAGUAUAAUAUAACUUACAGAAUCUGGCACUUAAAGCAACCAAUGAGCCAGGCAGAUUAUCAGAAGAAUCCAUUAAAAAUGGGGACUUGGUAUCCUCACAGAAUGACCCAAUGGAGAAAGUCUAGAUAGGUUUCAUUCAUUCAUUCAUUCUUUCAUUCAUUAUCUCAUGUUAUUAUCCUCCAUUUACAACUUCUUGUGUGACUUAAGAAGUCAAUCCUUAAUACACAGCUGCAUCACAGAUUGAGCAUCUGUCAUCACUGUCGGUGCGUAGAUUAUGGCAUUCUAGCACCAAUGUGUAUUAAGUGCACAAUUUGUGAACGCACUUUCUUUUUGUUGCCUUGCUUGUAAGCUGAUGGAGUGUUUUUGUUAUGCUGGAGUAACGUUUGUUGAGAUUCUUCUGUGUUCCCCUGUUUAGGGGAGUUAGUUUGGGAUUGGAAGUCUACGCUGGUGACUAGAGACAGCAGUGUUGAUGGCAUAUUUAACCUGUUGUGGUUUUCGAACAUUAAUGUGUACGUUGUGGGACAGCAAGGUGUAGAAUUAUUAUUUAAUUAAUAGAUCCACAAUAUUAUAAUGUUCAUCAUUAAACAUUUACAUUGUCAACAGUGAGUCACUUAUUUAUUGCAAGCACGAAGGUGCCUGGUUGAAUGUCAGGGGCCCGGGCAAACGAGCUAAGGCCUUAACAUAACCCUG